UGCGCCACGAUAGGCGAGAUCAGA
rnacentral:miRNA from 1 species